AGCGAACGCUGGCGGCAGGCUUAACACAUGCAAGUCGAGCGCCCCGCAAGGGGAGCGGCAGACGGGUGAGUAACACGUGGGAACGUACCCUUUGGUUCGGAACAACCCAGGGAAACUUGGGCUAAUACCGGAUACGUCCGUAAGGAGAAAGAUUUAUCGCCAAAGGAUCGACCCGCGUCUGAUUAGCUAGUUGGUGAGGUAAUGGCUCACCAAGGCUACGAUCAGUAGCUGGUCUGAGAGGAUGAUCAGCCACAUUGGGACUGAGACACGGCCCGAACUCCUACGGGAGGCAGCAGUGGGGAAUAUUGGACAAUGGGGGCAACCCUGAUCCAGCCAUGCCGCGUGAGUGAUGAAGGCCCUAGGGUUGUAAAGCUCUUUUAGCAGGGAAGAUAAUGACGGUACCUGCAGAAAAAGCCCCGGCUAACUUCGUGCCAGCCGCCGCCGUAA
rnacentral:rRNA from 1 species